UCACAGAAGCAGGAAGAAGAGCACUUCACUCCUGCCCACAAGAGCAGCAACUCUGAAUUCCGCAGCCAAGGGCUCUUUCUGGCUUGACUCCCAGCAAACUGAAGGUUCCAGGGAAGAAGUGUGGAUUAAUUCUCUAAAGAGCCUGCCUUUGUGUAAGACCUUCUAGAUGGUCUGCCACUUGCUGAGUGGGGGCAUCACAGCCUUAUGGUGAGAUGGGUUCAAAAGAACAAGGUUCACUGCGUGGCUUGGCAAACACCUGUGAUCUGAGUCCAUCUGAGACAGGAAUGAAUCGGAUAAUGAGACCCUAUCUGAAAGCAAUCAAUAAAAGGCCAAGGCUGUAUUGGGUGGUGUCUGGCCCCCAAUGGCAGUCAUCUAUUACUAGGUUUUGCCUCUGACCUGGAAUUUUUGUGACUGCUGGAUAAGACCCUAAAAUAUAUGCUGGGCUGUUGGACCUCUUGCUCACCCCUUCCAACCUCGAGGCUAGGAAUGGGCGGGUACCUGCUUCCAAAAGAAAGUGUCUCCACCCAGCUGAAGACUGCAUUAAAGUCCUAGAGGAGAGAUUCCCUAUCUCUCUGUAGCCCAACUCCUGGACAGACCGGCCACCUUUCUUUUGGGACUGUAAAAGCCUCCGUCAUCCCUCUGGGGACCAAUGCCAUUCUGGGGUAACCUGCGUCUGUGUUCCACACCAUGAUGUCUCCUGUUUGUGCUCAGAAUAAACUAUUCUCUUAUUUGAUAAUUGUU
rnacentral:lncRNA from 1 species